GCCCGGGUAGCUCAGUAGGUAGAGCGUUAGGCUUUUAACCUAGUGGUCCAGGGUUCGAGCCCCUGCUUUGGCG
rnacentral:tRNA from 1 species